rnacentral:rRNA from 1 species
UGCCAGCCGCCGCGGUAAUACGGAGGGGGCUAGCGUUGUUCGGAAUCACUGGGCAUAAAGCGCACGUAGGCGGCCAAGUCAGUUCGGUGUGAAAGCCCCCGGCUCAACCGGGGAACUGCAUCGGAUACUGCUUGGCUUGAGGAUGGUUGGGGUGAGUGGAACUCCUGGUGGAGCGGUGAAAUGCGUAGAUAUCAGGAGGAACACCAGUGGCGAAAGCGACUCACUGGACCAUAUCUGACGCUGAGGUGCGAAAGCUAGGGUAGCGAACGGGAUUAGAUA